CAGCCGCCACGGUAAUACGAAGGGUGCAAGCGUUAAUCGGAAUUACUGGGCGUAAAGCGUGCGUAGGCGGUGAGUUAAGUCUGCUGUGAAAUCCCCGGGCUCAACCCGGGAAUGGCAGUGGAUACUGGCUCGCUAGAGUGUGUCAGAGGAUGGUGGAAUUCCCGGUGUAGCGGUGAAAUGCGUAGAGAUCGGGAGGAACAUCAGUGGCGAAGGCGGCCAUCUGGGACAACACUGACGCUGAGGCACGAAAGCGUGGGGAGCAAACAGGAUUAGAUACCCCCGUAGUCCCUGUCUCUUAUAC
rnacentral:rRNA from 1 species